UUUUUUUCUUUUAAGUUCUUAAAAAGUGGCCAAGUGUAGUUAGUUUUGAAUCAUUCAAGCUUCUUUCAUUUUAAGAUGAGAAACAAGUAGGUGGAUUGGCAGUGGAGUGUCUCCUUUUUCAUUUGUUAGUUAGAUUUGUUUAUUUGUUCUAUUAUUUUGAGGGAAGUUAUCCUAGUUUUUAUUAAAUUUAUAGUUGAUAUACUUUGUGUGAUAUUUUGGUUGUAUUAAUAGUUAUCCUGCUAAAAUUCUUUUGCUUAUAUUUCAUCUUGUCUGUCAAAAAAUUGCACUCAUGAGAGAAAGUGAAAAUACUAUUUCACAUUGGUUAGAUUGCUGAAAGUGCAACUUGGAAUUUUAUUGAAUAUGUUGAAGUGUAUCUUUUUAAUAUUACUGGUAAUUAUUAGUGAAUGUUUUGUUUUGUUUUUUUAUUUUGUUAUAUAUGGCAUAUUUUCAAUUUUUUAGUUAGAUAUUA
rnacentral:lncRNA from 1 species